GCCGGGUGUGGUGGCUCACACCUGUAAUCCCAGCACUUUGGGAGGCCGAGGCGGGAGGAUCACCUGAGGUCGGGAGUUUGAGACCAGCCUGACCAACAUGGAGAAACCCUGUCUCUA
rnacentral:SRP_RNA from 1 species